rnacentral:rRNA from 1 species
CCUACGGGGGACUGCAGUGAGGAAUAUUGGUCAAUGGACGAGAGUCUGAACCAACCAAGUAGCGUGAAGGAUGACUGCCCUAUAGGUUGUAAACUUCUUUUAUAUGGGAAUAAACUGUUCCACGUGUGGGAUUUUGUAUGUACCAUAUGAAUAAGGAUCGGCUAACUCCGUGCCAGCAGCCGCGGUAAUACGGAGGAUCCGAGCGUUCUCCGGAUUUAUUGGGUUUAAAGGGAGCGUAGGUGGAUUGUCAAGUCAGUUGUGAAAGUUUGCGGCUGAACCGUAAAAUUGCAGUUGAAACUGGCAGUCUGGAGUACAGUAGAGGUGGGCGGAAUGCGUGGUGUAGCGGUGAAAUGCUUAGAUAUCACGAAGAACUCCGAUUGCGAAGGCAGCUCACUGGACUGCAACUGACACUGAGGCUCGAAAGUGUGGGUAUCAAACAUGAUUAGAUACCCGGGUAGUC